ACAGCGAUAAGGGAACCUCGAGUGCCAGGUUACAAAUCUGGCUGUCGUGAUGCCUAAAAAGCAUUGCAUAGCAAGGGCCGGGCAAGACCGGUGCCAGCCGCCGCGGUAACACCGGCGGCUCGAGUGGUAACCGUUAUUAUUGGGUCUAAAGGGUCUGUAGCCGGCCGGAUAAGUCUCUUGGGAAAUCUGGCAGCUCAACUGUCAGGCUUUCAGGAGAUACUGUCUGGCUCGAGGCCGGGAGAGGUGAGAGGUACUUCAGGGGUAGGGGUGAAAUCUUGUAAUCCUUGAAGGACCACCAGUGGCGAAGGCGUCUCACCAGAACGGACCUGACGGCAAGGGACGAAAGCUAGGGGCACGAACCGGAUUAGAUACCCGGGUAGUCCUAGCCGUAAACGAUACUCGCUAGGUGUCGGCCACGGUGCGACCGUUGUCGGUGCCGUAGGGAAGCCGUGAAGCGAG
rnacentral:rRNA from 1 species